rnacentral:rRNA from 1 species
UACGGAGGGUACAAGCGUUGUCCGGAAUUAUUGGGCGUAAAGCGCACGUAGGCGGCUCUUUAAGUCUCUUGGUGAAAGGCUGGGGCUCAACCCCAUGCAUGCCGGGGAUACUGGAGGGCUGGAGACAGGUAGAGGCCAGCGGAAUUCCGGGUGUAGCGGUGGAAUGCGUAGAGAUCCGGAAGAACACCGGAGGCGAAGGCGGCUGGCUGGACCUGAUCUGACGCUGAGGUGCGAAAGCGUGGGGAGCAAACAGG